rnacentral:rRNA from 1 species
GAACGCCUCUAAGUCAGAAUCCGGGCUAGAAACAAUGAUUUUGUCCCCAUGCAUCUCAAAACAGUUGUGUUAAAAUAGGGCUUGAAAAAUAGCCCGUGAACCAUCAUUUGUUGGUUAAACUGAUCAAGUGGAAAGACUCGGUUAGUUUUCCAACCUACAUUAUCAAAAAUAUGUGUGGGGGUAAAUCCUUUGCAGACGACUUGAAUCAGAACAGGGUACUGUAAGUGGUAGAGUAGCCUUGUUGCUACGAUCCACUGAGGUUCAGCCCAAGUUCUAAAGAUUUGUU